rnacentral:lncRNA from 1 species
GGAAAAACAAUUAUUCAUAUGGGAUAAAAACGGUCAAGGAUUAAUGAAAACAAAACAAAUUUUGUAGAGAAAAAUUAAUAUGUAUAUAUACAAAAAAGUAAAAACAAUAACAAAUAACUACUAUAGAAACAUAAAUAAUAAAAUCUAACAAAAAAUAUAUACAUUUUGGAACAACCAAACAUCUAUAUUCAGGGAGUUGCGCAUAAGUAACCGGACAUA